GUUACCUCAAUUGUUAAAAAUUGAGCCAGCGUACGAAGACUAGAGAGCCUAAUCAAGAGGACCAAGAGGAUGUUGUGGAGGCAUCAUUAGUGCGAACGACGAUCGAUGGAUCUCGAGACAGAAGCCAACAAAGCUGGUACUGACGAGGGCAUGCAGGUUUGUUUAUGGUGGUCAAGCGCAGUUUUUUAAUGGUGAGACCCGUUCGGAACCAAGGCAUUGAAACAAUGGUGUUGCUGAUAGUGUUGGUGAGAAUUGCGACGCCUCACAGUUCCUAGCGGGAUGGCAUCGACC